MAUGCAAGUCGAGCGAACGGACGAGAAGCUUGCUUCUCUGAUGUUAGCGGCGGACGGKUGAGUAACACGUGGAUAACCUACCUAUAAGACUGGGAUAACUUCGGGAAACCGGAGCUAAUACCGGAUAAUAUUUUGAACCGCAUGGUUCAAAAGUGAAAGACGGUCUUGCUGUCACUUAUAGAUGGAUCCGCGCUGCAUUAGCUAGUUGGUAAGGUAACGGCUUACCAAGGCAACGAUGCAUAGCCGACCUGAGAGGGUGAUCGGCCACACUGGAACUGAGACACGGUCCAGACUCCUACGGGAGGCAGCAGUAGGGAAUCUUCCGCAAUGGGCGAAAGCCUGACGGAGCAACGCCGCGUGAGUGAUGAAGGUCUUCGGAUCGUAAAACUCUGUUAUUAGGGAAGAACAUAUGUGUAAGUAACUGUGCACAUCUUGACGGUACCUAAUCAGAAAGCCACGGCUAACUACGUGCCAGCAGCCGCGGUAAUACGUAGGUGGCAAGCGUUAUCCGGAAUUAUUGGGCGUAAAGCGCGCGUAGGCGGUUUUUUAAGUCUGAUGUGAAAGCCCACGGCUCAACCGUGGAGGGUCAUUGGAAACUGGAAAACUUGAGUGCAGAAGARGAAAGUGGAAUUCCAUGUGUAGCGGUGAAAUGCGCAGAGAUAUGGAGGAACACCAGUGGCGAAGGCGACUUUCUGGUCUGUAACUGACGCUGAUGUGCGAAAGCGUGGGGAUCAAACAGGAUUAGAUACCCUGGUAGUCCACGCCGUAAACGAUGAGUGCUAAGUGUUAGGGGGUUUCCGCCCCUUAGUGCUGCAGCUAACGCAUUAAGCACUCCGCCUGGGGAGUACGACCGCAAGGUGAAAC
rnacentral:rRNA from 1 species